ensembl:snRNA U6 U6 spliceosomal RNA
GUGCUUGCCUUGGCAGCGCAUGUUCUAAAAUUGGAACAAUACAGAGGUUAGCAUGGCCCCUCUGCAAGAAUAACACACAAAUUUGUGGAAGUGUCCCAUAUUUUU